AGAGUUUGAUCAUGGCUCAGGAUGAACGCUAAGCGGCAGGCCUAAUACAUGCAAGUCGAGCGGCAAGUUGAGUAGUAAUACUUAGCCUAGAGCGGCGCACGGGGUGCGUAACGCGUAUGCAACCUACCUUUUACUGGGGAUAGCCCGGAGAAAUCUGGAUUAAUACCCCAUGGUAUCUAUGAAUCGAUUGGUUUAUAGUUUAAAGAUUUAUCGGUAAGAGAUGGGCAUGCGUCUGAUUAGCUAGUUGGCGGGGUAACGGCCCACCAAGGCGACGAUCAGUAGGGGUUCUGAGAGGAAGGUCCCCCACACUGGCACUGAGAUACGGGCCAGACUCCUACGGGAGGCAGCAGUAGGGAAUAUUGGGCAAUGGUCGCAAGACUGACCCAGCCAUGCCGCGUGCAGGAAGACGGCCCUCUGGGUUGUAAACUGCUUUUAUCUGGGAAGAAAAAGUCCUUGCGUGGAAAAUUGCCGGUACCAGAUGAAUAAGCACCGGCUAACUCCGUGCCAGCAGCCGCGGUAAUACGGAGGGUGCAAGCGUUGUCCGGAUUUAUUGGGUUUAAAGGGUGCGUAGGCGGCUGAAUAAGUCAGCGGUGAAAGACUUCGGCUUAACCGGAGCAGUGCCGUUGAUACUGUUUAGCUUGAGUGUUGGAGGGGUACA
rnacentral:rRNA from 1 species